rnacentral:rRNA from 1 species
UACGUAGGGGCUAGCGUUAUCCGGAAUUACUGGGCGUAAAGGGUGCGUAGGUGGUUUCUUAAGUCAGAGGUGAAAGGCUACGGCUCAACCGUAGUAAGCCUUUGAAACUGGUAAACUUGAGUGCAGGAGAGGAGAGUGGAAUUCCUAGUGUAGCGGUGAAAUGCGUAGAUAUUAGGAGGAACACCAGUUGCGAAGGCGGCUCUCUGGACUGUAACUGACACUGAGGCACGAAAGCGUGGGGAGCAAACAGGAUUAGAUACCCCGGUAGUCCCUGAGCGGG